GAAUCUUGGACAAUGGGCGCAAGCCUGAUCCAGCCAUGCCGCGUGGAUGAUGAAGGCCCUAGGGUUGUAAAAUCCUUUCGUUGGGGACGAUAAUGACGGUACCCAAAGAAGAAGCUCCGGCUAACUUCGUGCCAGCAGCCGCGGUAAUACGAAGGGGGCUAGCGUUGUUCGGAUUUACUGGGCGUAAAGCGCGUGUAGGCGGGUCGUUAAGUUGGGGGUGAAAUCCCGAGGCUCAACCUCGGAACUGCCUUCAAAACUGGCGACCUGGACCCAAGUAGAGGCAAGUGGAAUUGCGAGUGUAGAGGUGAAAUUCGUAGAUAUUCGCAGGAACACCAGUGGCGAAGGCGACUUGCUGGACUUGUGGUGACGCUGAGACGCGAAAGCGUGGGGAGCAAACAGG
rnacentral:rRNA from 1 species